UUUUGAUUAUAAUUGUGGAGCUCAGAGGCAAAAUGACACAUAUCCUAUGGCUAAAGCAUAGGAUAUGUGUCAUUUUGCCUCUGAGCUCCACAAUUACGU
rnacentral:pre_miRNA from 1 species